GGAUCAGCACUCUGAUCUAUGAGUGACAACUACUCCUAGCAGAACAGAGUCGGUAGAACCCCGCCCUGCGGGCCACGCCCUUCAGUAGCUGCCACUCCACCCUUCUUUAAAACGCAGGGCCAGACUCUAGAGUAAGUGUCUCUGGCCUACAUUUAGAGGGUGGAAGGAGUCUGUUUGAGGUUCAGAGUUCACUGUUUUGGUCACUGAGUGGAUAUUAAUGAGCUCCUUCUCUCCCAGAGUGACAGGUGGGACCAGGUGGAGGAAGCACCACUAGGGAGCAGCGUUGACCUUCGGGGUGUGGUCAGGAGACUGUGGAGCCUGAAGACAGCCGGAGGGACCAGGGCUGCAAGGAGGCUGAGCGGCUGCUGGCACAGGGCCACUUGGGCAAGUUGCCUGUCACUGUGUGACACCCGAUGCCUGGAGAAUUCCACAUAAGAAGACCUGUACCCCCCAAGGCAAGGCUUUUCCAAAUUUUUCAAGUCAAAGUCGUUAGAUUAUUAAAAAACAUGAAGAGAAUCUCGCAGGCACCAUAUGCUUAUGUGAACCUGGACUGUACUUGGAAUUAGUGCAUGGGAAGUGUCUCAUUUGGAGGCAGAAGGAGAAAAAUAACUGGAUUCAGAAUAACAUCAGAAGAACAAAA